CACGGGGGGGCGAGGGGGCUGCGGGCACCGGGUUGGGGCCGCGGCAAAGGCUGCUGGGGCCGAGCGAGCGAACGGGCGAGCCCGGAUGAGGAAGUGAUGCGGGCGGCGCGGCCGGGCGGGCAGGAGCGGGGCCGGCUGCCGUUGAGGGCAUCGCGGAGCGUCGUUUGGGCUGAAGAGGAUCCCCACGACGUACCAGUGGUGUGCAAACAGACCUCGUACGGCAUAUCCGACAUACAGCGUGAGGUGCUUCUGUGAGAGAAGCUAACAAGGCAUGGGUAAACUGUGAAGAGCUCAGGACAACCAAUCUUCAGCUGCCCUGAUGCUUUCAUCUGGGGUGGAAUCUCUCCUUAGUUCUUCGGGAUCUGCUGGAAUAGAGGAGGUGUACCCUGGACUGCCCACAAGCAUCUCCACGGAACUUAUGGCUGUGUCGGAGCCUAAGGUUGGGUUAAGUGCAAAGCCUGGUGUGUCAGUGCCUGUGCUGGCGCACAGCAGUGGUCUGUCAGUGGAGCAUUGCACAACACCGGGAGUAGAGAACUGCCAGGGUUUGGGUGAUGUGCUCCAGGCGAUUUCUCAUGGGCCAGCAGAAUCCCUUGAUGAAGAAUUGGUGAAGUCUGGAGACCUUGAAGAGGAUGAAAAAAGCAAAAAAAGGAACUUGAGGAGACUAGACUGUUCUAGUAAGGGUUACCAGAAAGGUGGCCAACAGGCACAGGAUGCUGAGGAGUAUCAUCCUGGAUGCUGCACUCCAGCUCCGGGGGGAAGCUUGGCAAAACAAGAGGACCCUCUCUUAAACCAGCAUGAAUUUAAGUCUUUGGGAACCUGUUGCACCGAAGUAGUGGGAUCUCUGAAGAACACAGGUGUGUAUUUUAGUAACCUGCUGUCCCAGGUUACUUUUUGUUGAUUUGGAAUUGAUGAGUGACUGUGGGAUAGCUCAUUUAUUUUGCUUCACAGUAGAAACUGUUACCCUGCAUAGCUAGAACAAUAUGAAAACUUAGUCCUCUGCCUUCUGCUGACAGCAUGUGUACUUUUCCUGAAGCCCUUUUACGUACAAGAUGUG
rnacentral:lncRNA from 1 species